UACGGGACGCAGCAGUGAAAUUUUUGGACAAUGGGGAAACCCUGAUCAGCCAUCCCGCGUGUGCGAUGAGCCUUCCGGGUUGUAAAGCACUUUUUGGCAGAAAGAAACAGCGCAGGAUAAUACCCCGUGCAAUGACGGUACCGCAGAAUAAGCACCGGUAACUACGUGCCAGCAGCCGCGAGUAAUACGUAGGAGUGCAAGCGUUAAUCGGAAUUACUGGGCGUAAAGCGUGCGCAGGCGGUUCGGAAAGAAAGAUGUGAAAUCCAGAGCUUAACUUUGGAACUGCAUUUUUAACCACCGAGCUAGAGUGUCAGAGGGAGGUGGAAUUCGCGAUAGCCAGCAGUGAAAUGCGUAGAUAUGCCGGAAGACACCGAUGGCGAAGGCAGCCUCCUGGGAUAACACGACGCUCAUGCACGAAAGCGUGGGGAGCAAACAGGAUUAGAUACCCCGUAGU
rnacentral:misc_RNA from 1 species